rnacentral:rRNA from 1 species
CCCUUAGAUGUUCUGGGCCGCACGCGCGCUACACUGAUGCAUUCAACGAGUUUUGUUUGUUCCUUGGCCGAGAGGCCUGGGCAAUCUUUUGAACUUGCAUCGUGACAGGGAUAGAUUAUUGCAAUUAUUAAUCUUGAACGAGGAAUUCCUAGUAAACGCAGAUCAUCAAUCUGCAUUGAUUACGUCCCUGCCCUUUGUACACACCGCCCGUCGCACCUACCGAUUGAAUGGUCCGGUGAAGCCUCGGGAUUGUGGUUGGUUUCCUUUAUUGGAGAUUGAUUGCGAGAACUUGUCUAAACCUUAUCAUUUAGAGGAAGGUGAAGUCGUAACA